GGGAUAAGUUUUUGUUGUUUACAAGCCACCCAGUCCAUGCUGUUUUGUUCCAGCAGCAAAGGGAUGAAGACGGAAAUCGGCGCAGAGCAGUGGGCUCCUGCCACUGUUACAAACACCUAGAAAGCGGGGACGUGGCUUUGGAGCCGGGUGACGGGCAGAAGCUGGAGGCGCUCUGAGGAGCUAGGAAAGGCGCCCUGCUGUGCUUGGACCUGCAGUGGUGACUCCGUUGAGGAAGACGCUGCUGGGAGGUCCUGUGCCCGUCUGCCACUCGGAGACAUAGUGGGAAGAUGGGUGCCCGAAGCAGGAAGCGGCCCUCCCCACAGACUGAAUCUUCGGGCUCCUGCAGAUGGUGAGGAAUACGUGUCUUGCUGAAGCCCCCAGUCUAUGCUAUACUUGUGAUGGCAGCCAGAAGAGACCAAGAAUGGCAACCUGCAGAGUGGAAAAUCCUCCCAAGAAGCAGCAAGUCCCUGGGGGCCCUGGAGGCAUUUUAAGGCCCGCCCCUUUGCUCCUGCUUUCACUGCUCCCUUCCAGCCGUGGACUCCGGCCUCGUCCACGUGACUUCUCUGGCCAACGAGACAUCAGGAAACCCGCUCCAAGCAGGGGCUUGAAACGCCUUCCCCUGCUGUGCAGCAGCAUGUGAGUAAGCCCAGGCCAGGCUGAUCUCCACGCUGCCCUCUUACAGCCCCUCCUCUGCUCUGUCCGGAGCCUCCCUCUGGCCCUCCCUGUGAGGACACUCGUGGAAGCAUUUAGGGCCCACCUGCGAAAUCCAGGACAGUCCCCCAUCUCAAGACUCUCAAUUUAGUUGUCCACAAAGAUCGCUUUUCCAUAGAAGGCAACAUUUACAGGGAUGAGGACCCGAUAUUUUGAGGGGCAGUGUUCAGCCCUGCCAGCUCCCUAACAGAUGACAGCUGACCGUUGAUGCGGGAGUGAGCCUGCGGCCAGUCAGAGAAUCUCAGCUGCCCCAGAGGAACUGCUGGCCACGGAAUCCUGAACUGAUAAGUGAUCCUUGUUUUAAACCAUUAAGUUUUGGAGAGGUUUGCUAUGCAGCAAAAGCUGACUGAGACAUGAUGAUUUGGGUUGACUGACAGCACCUGAAAGCCGCUUCCCACCCCAUCCUGUCCCUCUGGAUUUGGUUUAUUUCUCAACAUGCCUCGUGAAAAUAUUAGAACAGCGAUUUCCUUAGUAAUUAGAAGGGUCUCUUUCCCACAUUUGCCUCUGUUGCUCAUCACUAAAACCAUGAACCAAACUUUGCAAAAUAAAACCAGUCUCAUACGGGCAAGAUAA